GUUUACAUUGUUACCUUUCCUCAUUUUUGCUUGUCCUGUUUCAAACUUCUUGGGAUUUACGUUCCAAGAGUGAAGAACAAGUCAAUUAAAAAUUACUUUCAGUGGUUCACUAGAAGAUUAUUUUUUUUUAUUUAUACACAUUGUAACAGAGAAAUACACAAAACACACAUUUUUUUUUAUGAUUAUAAACAACAUGUAUUCUGCCUGUUCACAUGAUUAAUUACAAAUUAUUUCCCUUCUCUUCAGUCUGGGUCACUUUGAAGUUCUACCUUUUCAGGAGCGGUUGUUAAACAGUAAAAUCAUUCAGGUGAGAAAUUCAGGUAAAAUGCAAAUCAUGGAACAAAACACUGUACUUAAGACAAACAGCAAAACAGGUAUAAACAAGUACUAUGGCUUUUCAUUAAUAGCUAUAGAGGUCUAAAUGCAACUCCAAUGGUCAAAUGUUCAUUGUAUAUUUUCCUUAGAUUGCAUGAUUUUAAAGGCAGAAAUGUAAGGUUACAGGACUGCCACUUAACACAAGAAGGUAGCCUUUUCCUGUGCAACUGAUGACAUACCUAAAACUACAGGGAGUGUUGAUCAUAAGACUUUCAGGUUUAAUUGCCUGUAACAACAAGCAAUAACCACAGUAGGAAGUCAGCUAAUGAACUUGCCACAAAUGUAACAAUUGCUACCUAGACAAAAUUAUGAGGGUGUUUUAAAUAACAGUAUCCUUCCUUCCUGCAAUACUUACAUUUUCUUCUGCUGCAAAAAGUUACAGAUGUUUUUUUCAUCUCCAGUCUCUAAAAUUUUCACAGAAUUAAAGGUUUGAUCCCACACCCACUGAUGUCAGAGGGAGAGACAAAGCAGGCUACAAAGACAGGAAAAUAUCCAGGUCCUAAAAGGUCUGGUCUGACUAACUUACUGUUUGGCUUCAGCAGUUUUUAAUGACACCAAGAAGAGAAGAACAGAGACUCCCUAAGCUGGAGACUUGGCAGGUAUCGUAAGCAAAGACAAGGAUGGGUUUUGUGUAGUCUUCAUUCUCUGUGUACUUAUCAUCCUAAAGCCUAUUCACACAUUUCAACCUAUCUAUGCUCCUAUUAAAAACCAGAACUUGAAAUUCUUUCUUAAAAAUGAAAAUAAAACCAACCCACCAAACUGUAAAAUCCUAAAUCUCUUCAUCCUGUCUUCUGUUACCUACAAAGUUUGUUUACCUUAAGCAACUCUGUCAUUAGUACAUCAAGUUCAAAGAGGAAAGCAGCCAACAGGUCUAAAUAAAUAAAUAAAUAAAUAACCCAUAAUAUUCACAUUGCAUCAGAAAGAACACAUACCCUUUCCACAGCAAGAUCAUUGUUGAUCACACUUUUACAAUCACCAACCGCCAUACACUUCAUACCACUCUGUAAAACCAAACUUAUGUUUAAAACAUACCUAUCAAAUUCAGGACGUCAGCCUCAUUCAACUGCCCCAAAAGAGACAGCUGAUUAAAAAAGCAUCUGGCAUGUCAAUCUAAGGAACCCACAAGUCCAUAUGCAGCACAAGUUCAUACACUGGUGGUGCAUAUGUUAAGAAACAGAACUAAGGGAUGCACUGAACACUCUGGCCAGUACCACAGCACUUUCUUGAUGAGGCUCACAAGUCUCUUCCUCUGCAGGGAGUCCCAGACUUGGUUCUGUCCAUCCAUGGCUAUUCAUCCCUUCUACCAGCAAUCACUUCAGACAAAACUAGAGCCACUGAAGAAGAGGAAAGCCUGUAGAUUCUAAUACAAGCGGUGACCCGUACUGAAAAAUCAACAAAAUAACCCCAAAACCUAAGGAACUACUGUGAUGUUUGUGCUUAUGCUUUUUCUUGCAAUAUUCUAAAAGGACUGGAUCUCACACCAGUCAAUAGCUACAUACAGCUUUUUAUGUCACACUCCUAUGAACCAUGUUGCAUUUUUUCCCCCAUGAUGCAAGCCACCAGAAAUAGACAUGGGAAUCCAAAAAUAUUAAGACUGGUUUUCUUGUCUUAAAAAGGGAGGAAGGACAACAGAAA